AGCUCGAGUUUCUUUUCAUUAUCGCAUAAAUAUUUCGCCUUCUACUAAAGAUUUCCGUGGAGAGGAGAUUCUUGUGAGUGACCUGUAUUUUUGGAGGAUCUGCUCACAGCAGAGCU
ensembl:snRNA U5 U5 spliceosomal RNA